GGGAAAUCGCACUAUUCAUAUGAAUAGUGUUUUGUAAGACAUUUCAGUUUAUUUACAAGACUACCACUGGCUCUCUCUGCCGCUAAUCUUGAUGCAUACGUGUUGAUGAUCGUGGGAAGGAAGAACGAUGGUAAAGACGGUCUUUUCCGUUUCCUUCUCAAACCCUCCUUGCCUCUUCCGUCUCACAGACCCCACAAGAACGACACAAACGGUCUCGCGUCCAUCCUAUCCUCCUCUCACCGCCGUCUGCCUUCCCUCGCCUAUUUCGUCUUACUCCAUCGUUUGCGUCAUGGAGGCCCGUGCGUGGUUUUUUGGGUGGGGAUUUCAGAUUUCAAGGGGGAGAGAGGUUGUGCUUCGUUUCGAUCGGAUCGAGCCUCUAUCAUUCGAUUGGAUCAAGGUGAUGGGGACAACGCGAGAGGUUGAGGGAAGCCGGCUCUAAGACUCUGCAUCUCUCACUUUCUCAUCUCUCAAACCAUUUCUCUCUCUCCUAUCUCUCCCACUGUCUCCGUCUCUCGGCUUUCUCGCUCACUCUAUGUCCACUGAAAUUUCAAGAAAGAUUCAGGUGGAAAACGGGUGAAAUUAGCAAGAUCCAGUAAUGAAAAUGGCAGUUUGAAGGCUGAAGUCGAAGAAACUUUAGCUGCUGGUGACAACAAGCCAGCUGAAGAAAGCUCUAAACCUUCCGAGCCACCCAAGCAAGACUAUAUCCAUGUGAGGGCAAGAAGGCCCAUGGAAUACUCUUCCCAAACUUAAGACACUUAAUCAGUAAGCGAGUGAACGACAUAAGUUUCUAAAUUACAGAAAGGUGAUAUCUCAUUACAAGGAACUCUCUCCAACCGAACUCAGUCCAAAAGAACAUUUGCUACUCUUAAAAGCAUUAUGUGGACUCCAAGCUCAAAUUUGACAAGAUCAUCAACAAGGAAAUACCGAAUAAGGUGGUUUUGAAGACGAUAAGGUGCUCCCUACUGUGUUUCUUCUCAAUUUCAAUUUCCUAUUCAUUUUUUAAUUGAGCUUUACCAGUAUUUACUUUUUUUUCCUUAUGAAGUUUGGAUUUUUGAGUAAUGGGUUUUGUUAAUUAAUUUUAGGACUUAAUUCUUAAUCAAUAAUAAGUGAAUUGAGAGUGGAGAGCUGGCAUGGUUGGGAUUAAUUCUUAAUCAAUAAUAGGUGAAUUAAU